AAGCUUGUGUCAAUGAGGGCACACUUCAGUGGUGACACUGUCGAUUAAACCUUGUGAAUUCAGGGGAAGAGAAUAGGGGAAAACGAUUUUGCAGGCAAUAUCAUCAGCCGAUAAAAGACUUUUAUAGUUGAUGAAAAAACGUCACUUGUAUGUGAAGUUUCUCCCUGUUUCUCCAAUCCUGAGCCAAGCCCUAAAAAGCAAACCAUGCUUACUCGUGGGGUCAGAUCCCAUCGGUUGAUUGGUUGUCCCUGUGCUGUAUCCAUGAUAAGCAAACGGACAUGCAGGAAAGCAAGCUAGUGACUUGCCCCAGUCACGCCAAAGCGUGACCGACGCACCAUCUAUCCACAACGGGGACAAUGCUGAAGCAGCCAGAUAGUUAGUUGUGCGCUAUGCUCAACAAGCACCACGGGUUAAACCAUAUUCUUUUUAGGGAAGGUGCAGAGACUAUCGAAAUCACUUCAUCAUGAAGCGACUGAAGAGUAGUGAUGAAGGAAGAGAGUAGAGUACAUCGUGAGUUUGACGAUCACGGUGGAAGCGCAAGGGUUCUUAUCGGAUAUCGCAGUCGGAUAAGAAUAAGAUAUAGUCCACCUACUUUUUUAAGUAGC
rfam:Anoxybacillus sp. B7M1, complete genome.